rnacentral:rRNA from 1 species
GAUGAACGCUGGCGGCGUGCUUAACACAUGCGAGUCGAACGGUGAACACGGAGCUUGCUCUGUGGGAUCAGUGGCGAACGGGUGAGUAACACGUGAGCAACCUGCCCCUGACUCUGGGAUAAGCGCUGGAAACGGCGUCUAAUACUGGAUAUGUGACGUGACCGCAUGGUCUGCGUUUGGAAAGAUUUUUCGGUUGGGGAUGGGCUCGCGGCCUAUCAGCUUGUUGGUGAGGUAAUGGCUCACCAAGGCGUCGACGGGUAGCCGGCCUGAGAGGGUGACCGGCCACACUGGGAUUGAGACACGGCCCAGACUCCUACGGGAGGCAGCAGUGGGGAAUAUUGCACAAUGGGCGAAAGCCUGAUGCAGCAACGCCGCGUGAGGGAUGACGGCCUUCGGGUUGUAAACCUUUUUUAGCAGGGAAGAAGCGAAAGUGACGGUACCUGCAGAAAAAGCGCCGGCUAACUACGUG